CUGAAACCUUGGAUUUGUGCCCUACAGUCCUACCCUAUUGCUUAUGGAAUUUGGUGCAGAAUACAAACAUUGCCCACACUUUCACAGGCAGUUCCUUUGACCUCAUGGCUUUUGGUCUGCUACAGUAUGCAUUGUCAGCUGUGAUGCCUUCUCUAGAGAGGUGUGUGCCUUUCCAAAUCAUGUCCAAUCAAUUUAAUUUACCACAGAUCAACUCCAUUCAAGGUGUAGAAACAUGUCAGCAACGAUCAAGAGAAAUGGGAGAC